rnacentral:rRNA from 1 species
GCAGUGUACCCGCGGCAAGACGGAAAGACCCCGUGAACCUUUACUAUAGCUUGACACUGAACAUUGAGCCUUGAUGUGUAGGAUAGGUGGGAGGCUUUGAAGCGUGGACGCCAGUCUGCGUGGAGCCGACCUUGAAAUACCACCCUUUAAUGUUUGAUGUUCUAACGUGGACCCGUAAUCCGGGUUGCGGACAGUGUCUGGUGGGUAGUUUGACUGGGGCGGUCUCCUCCUAAAGAGUAACGGAGGAGCACGAAGGUUGGCUAAUCCUGGUCGGACAUCAGGAGGUUAGUGCAAUGGCAUAAGCCAGCUUGACUGCGAGCGUGACGGCGCGAGCAGGUGCGAAAGCAGGUCAUAGUGAUCCGGUGGUUCUGAAUGGAAGGGCCAUCGCUCAACGGAUAAAAGGUACUCCGGGGAUAACAGGCUGAUACCGCCCAAGAGUUCAUAUCGACGGCGGUGUUUGGCACCUCGAUGUCGGCUCAUCACAUCCUGGGGCUGAAGUAGGUCCCAAGGGUAUGGCUGUUCGCCAUUUAAAGUGGUACGCGAGCUGGGUUUAGAACGUCGUGAGACAGUUCGGUCCCUAUCUGCCGUGGGCGCUGGAGAACUGAGGGGGGCUGCUCCUAGUACGAGAGGACCGGAGUGGACGCAUCACUGGUGUUCGGGUUGUCAUGCCAAUGGCACUGCCCGGUAGCUAAAUGCGGAAGAGAUAAGUGCUGAAAGCAUCUAAGCACGAAACUUGCCCCGAGAUGAGUUCUCCCUGAGACUUAGAGUCUCCUGAAGGAACGUUGAAGACGACGACGUUGAUAGGCCGGGUGUGUAAGCGCAGCGAUGCGUUGAGCUAACCGGUACUAAUGAACCGUGAGGCUUAACCUUACAACGCCGAAG